rnacentral:misc_RNA from 1 species
CUGCCAUGGUCGCCGCAGGUCUCUGCUCCUUCCCCAAGCUCGCCCUCAUCUCCCAGGUCGCCACUUUCCUCUCCCUGCCCACAUCAUCGGAUUCUGCUCGCUGCGUGCUUGCCGGCAUGUCCGGGCGUGGCCCUGCAGAUUCAUCAUAGGUACCUCCUCGAACUCCUCCACACUGGUUGUGGACGGCAUUGGUAUCCCUCUGCUCCAGCAGCGUUGCGGCGCCCCGAGCUCCUCCUCCGCGUGCUGCCAUGGUCGGGGUCAGUCUCAUCCGACAACGCCAUGACUUCCACUCCGCUCUGUGGCGAGCAGCCCCUGCACCAUCCAUGCUCGUCGUGUGUUCGAGAGUUCACGCGCAAGUCUCUGCGUGGUGGCCGUGUCGCUGCAAGCUUGUGCCACGCACCCGGGCAUCCCUUCAUCGCUGCACAUUGUCCGCAUCGGCGCAGCAGCCCUCCCGUUCAUUCUCCACUCCCCUCGUCGCGUGUCAUCAAUCUCGUGCUUGCUGCGCAUCCCAUCCUCGUCGUCGUCAAAACCCUUGCUAGAUGUUGUCGCUGCGCCUCGCGCGACACAUGA